CAUACGCGGACCUUCGACUUGUUACGAGAGGACCGAUGUGUUUCAGCUGCCCUCAACAAAGUAGGGCGGAUGACUGUGACGCAUUCAACCUCUGUGGAAGAGAUCAGAUGUGUAAGCUGGAACAAAUAACCAUCAGUGACAUCGUUCUCUGGAGAACAUCCUGUGAGGAUGCAAGGACCUGCCAAAUGCUGAUGAACAAUGCAGGCACAAACUGUACAUCGA